UACGAAGGGGGCUAGCGUUGCUCGGAAUCACUGGGCGUAAAGGGUGCGUAGGCGGGUCUUUAAGUCAGGGGUGAAAUCCUGGAGCUCAACUCCAGAACUGCCUUUGAUACUGAAGAUCUUGAGUUCGGGAGAGGUGAGUGGAACUGCGAGUGUAGAGGUGAAAUUCGUAGAUAUUCGCAAGAACACCAGUGGCGAAGGCGGCCCUCUGGACGGAUACUGACGCUGAGGCGCGAAAGCGUGGGGAUCAAACAGG
rnacentral:rRNA from 1 species